rnacentral:rRNA from 1 species
UGGGGAAUCUUGCACAAUGGGGGCAACCCUGAUGCAGCGACGCCGCGUGGGUGAAGAAGGUCUUCGGAUCGUAAAGCCCUUUUCCCACUGAAGAGGAAGGACGGUAGGUGGGGAAGAAGUCUCGGCUAACUACGUGCCAGCAGCCGCGGUAAAACGUAGGAGACAAGCGUUAUCCGGAGUUACUGGGCGUAAAGGGCGUGCAGGUGGCGUCUUAAGUCUGUUGUGAAAGCGCCUGGCUUAACCGGGCGAGGCCAAUGGAGACUGAGAGGCUGGAGGACGGGGGAGGGGUGUGGAAGUCCGGGUGUAGUGGUGAAAUGCGUAGAGAUCCGGAGGAACACCAGAGGCGAAGGCGGCACUCUAAGCCGUACCUGACACUGAGACGCGACAGCACGGGGAGCAAA